rnacentral:tRNA from 2 species
GCAACCGUAGUCUAAUGGAUAGAACGUUGGACUCCGACUCCAAUGAUGCGGGUUCGAUUCCCGCCGGGUGCA